ensembl:lncRNA
GAAGAGGCUGUGAAGACACGGGAUGAGACGGCGUGGAUGUCAGUCGGCCUGGAACGGCCCCCCACACACACACACACACAGCGCCCUCAGAGCAGCCAGCCCUGCCAACACCCUGAUCCUGGGCUUCCAGCCUCCAGAGCCGGGAGACAGCACAUUUCUGAGUUUAAGCCACCCCGUCUGCAUUACCACAAUCUUAGGAAACUAAUUCACUGCUUUCCUCUGAAAGGGGAGCGAGAGAAACCACGUCUUGGUUUUACGGUUUCCAAGCGUGCUCACUCUCAUGUCCAUGUCGGAUCCUCACGUCACCUGACUCCUUAGGCCCAACAGGUGCUCCUCGGCCCAUCUGAUGGAUGAGGAGUCUGAGGCCAGGAGGCAGGGGGCUUCCCAAAAAGCCUGCACCAAAGUUAACCACCAAGCUGCAAGUACAACCCAGGCCUCCUCACCAACACCCAAAGGGCUUCCCUACAUCAAGACAAACAUCUAAGUUUAUACAGAAUUCUGGGAGGCUGCAGGGUUGAGGGGCAGGGAGCACCUCCCUUCACCUGGCCCUCCGGCCUGCACUCACUCUCUGUGGCAUCACCCAGGCAGCCUUUAAUCACCAUGAUGCCCGGACACCACCCCAGACCAAGCGAAUCAGAACCCAGGGGGUGGGGUUCAGGCAGUGAUAGCUUUUACAGCACAGUAACAGGAUUCUCAUGUGCAGCUGGGGUGGAGAAGCCCAGCCAGAGGGUUCCAAGGACUGAGGAACUCUGGCACUAGUAGGACCCAACCCAGAGAGGCAGCAGUACAGGCACCCCCACGCACAGCACU